CCCAGGCCCAUUGUUAGCAGUUAGCUAUGAGGAACCAAGGGCUUUGGGGCUUUAUCAGGCGGAACAAGGAACACAGCUGAAUGAAAUCAAGCAUAUCAAAUCAAAUGGAGCAAACGGACCAUAGCAUUUAAUCUCCAGGACCCAGUGUACGAGAGUUUUGACCCAUGCAAUGACCAUUACUUUCAGCCCUAUGAACACCAAGAAAAUCACUGAAGCUGGAAAACCCUUGUCGCUUCUUAUUUUGAUUCUGUUUUUGUUCCUGAGACUAAACGUAAGUGCGUCAGGUCUAAAGCUGCUGCACGCUCGCUUGCUUCUGCUUAUAUGGCUGGAUGUGACGACUUGUUCUCCUCUUGUGUUCAGAAGAUUUCUGUAGAAGCUGAGGAGUAUGGGACAGAGUGUCACACUGGUAUCUGUUAACACACACACAUAUACACACACACACACACACCAACAAAGACCGAAUAGAUUGAUACAAAAUGUGUUUUCACAGAAAAGUGACAGCGGUGGUACACAAGCACGGUGACUGGUAUGUUGGAUGUAUAUAUAAGCUGCAUGGGACAUCCCAUCAUUACAAUAACACUUUAACAUGCAGAUAAUUUUUUUGAAAGCCAGACACUGUCUGGGUGUAUAAUAGCUCCUUACAAAAACCUGCUAGGCUCUAUUGUGCAGUUAAAGAGUCAGAUGGCAUUUAGUCUGAAGAUCACAGAGAUUGGGCUAUAUUUAGAGCCUACAGCACCUGCAUACCUGAUGUAUGGGCAGCGCCGGAGACAGCUGCUGGCAAACAAACCUUGCUUUAUGUACUGGGGAACAUUCACACGUUGCAGGGACUAUGGACAAGCCAUACACAAUUCUAUUGGCUCUCGCUAACGAAAUGUUCCCUAAGCACAUGUAGCAUGGAGGGCAUUUAAUGAGAAGAGUAAAGCUAAGGCUGAUGCCACAUGGGCCUGAUUCUGUGGCAAAAACACAGACUCCUCUGCUGAUUCUUGCGAGUGUUCGCGUUUCAGAGCCUUUAUCUGCUGCGUGUGCCUGUGAUUUUAAUAUCCUAAUAUGUUACAUUAAAGGUUUAUUAUGUUAUAAUA